rnacentral:rRNA from 1 species
GACGAACGCUGGCGGCGUGCUUAACACAUGCAAGUCGAACGGAGUGGCGAACGGGUGAGUAACACGGGGGUGACCUGCCCUGCACUUCGGGAUAAGCAUGGGAAACUGGGUCUAAUACCGGAUAGUGGGGGAUGGGCCCGCGGCCGAUCAGCUGGUGGGUGGGGUAAUGGCCUACCAAGGCGGCGACGGGUAGCCGGCCUGAGAGGGUGGACGGCCACAUUGGGACUGAGACACUGCCCAGACUCAUACGGGAGGAAGCAGUGGGGAAUAGUGCACAAUGGGCGGACGCCUGAUGCAGCGACGUCGCGUGGGGGAUGACGGCCUUCGGGUUGUAAACUCCUUUCACCAUCGACGAGGUAGAUGGAGAAGAAGCACCGGCUAACGACGUGCCAGCAGCCGCGGGAAUAC